AGCAACUGAACCGGGAGCAGCAUGCGUGUGCACAGGACACAGGCAUACGAUGAGUCAGUCCCCAGUCCCCUUGUGACUUGGGAGGCCACGUGGCUACUUCUAACCCGGGAGGGGGAGAAGUGACGUGUGCCAUUUCUGGGCCAGAGCCGUAACUGAUGGUACAAGAUCCUCCCCAAGGCCUCCCCUUCCUACUGGCGCAACCCAGCAAUAUUCAAGAUGGCGAACACCCUCUGGGACCAGGACGAGCAGAGCCACCACCAACUGCAAUGCGCACGCAGCGAGAGUGAGAAAUAAACCUUUUUAUUUUAAGCUACCGAGAUCUGGAGAUUAUUUGUUACCAUAGCAAAUUCGACUAAUACCCUCUAAGAACAGUAGCAGGGAAGGAAGGAAUCAGACAACACACAAGGAUAUAAAAUAAAAGGUGGUGUCUGCAAAGGGCUGUG
rnacentral:lncRNA from 10 species